rnacentral:rRNA from 1 species
CCUACGGGAGGCAGCAGUGGGGAAUAUUGCACAAUGGGGGAAACCCUGAUGCAGCGACGCCGCGUGAGUGAAGAAGUAUUUCGGUAUGUAAAGCUCUAUCAGCAGGGAAGAAAAUGACGGUACCUGACUAAGAAGCCCCGGCUAACUACGUGCCAGCAGCCGCGGUAAUACGUAGGGGGCAAGCGUUAUCCGGAUUUACUGGGUGUAAAGGGAGCGUAGACGGCCAGACAAGUCAGAAGUGAAAGCCCAGGGCUCAACCCUGGGACUGCUUUUGAAACUGUCAUGCUAGAGUGUCGGAGAGGCAGGCGGAAUUCCUAGUGUAGCGGUGAAAUGCGUAGAUAUUAGGAGGAACACCAGUGGCGAAGGCGGCCUGCUGGACGAUGACUGACGUUGAGGCUCGAAAGCGUGGGGAGCAAACAGGAUUAGAUACCCCAGUGUC